GUUACCGCGGAUGGUCUGUGGAGGGCAAUGCUCCUCCUGCGGCAUUCCUCAAGUUCAGCUUUAAGCAUUGAUCCUACGACUUUCUGCAGCGAGAUGGACACGAGAAUAUCACACCAGAACACUGAUCGGUCGAACGUUUUACCAGCCUGAAGGCCAGUAGUCGUCGUUCUCAAGCGCUAAGGCAUCUGGCCCUGGACACACUCCACCCAACCGAGCCGGAUCGAACAGAUCAAAUUGAUUGCGGACCUGGAGUUCCGGGCUUCGCCUAAGCAGCUCUGUGCAUGGUACUGUACAGUACAUGGACAUUGUAGUCGUGGCUACAAAUUGAAUGAACUCUGCACCAAGGAAGAACACCUCUUUUUAUCAUCCAU
rnacentral:sRNA from 1 species